GUAUGGUUUUAUUUUAAAUUAAAAGGGAAACAGGUUUGAAUCCUGUACGGUCCCGCCACUGUAAUGAUGAUGAACGCAAUAGCCACUGGAUUUUUUCUGGGAAGGGUGCAAGUAAGAUGAAUCUAAGUCAGGAGACCUGCCAUAUAUAAUUU
rnacentral:ncRNA from 1 species